GACGGAGGGUGCAAGCGUUGUUCAGAUUGACUGGGCGUAAAGGGCGUGUAGACGGUUGGUCAAGUCCGAUGUGAAAGCCCGGGGCUCAGCUCCGGAAGGGCGUCGGAAACUAGCCGACUAGAGCGCGAUAGAGGAGGGCGGAAUUCCUGGUGUAGCGGUGAAAUGCGUAGAUAUCAGGAGGAACACCGGCGGCGAAGGCGGCCCUCUGGAUCGUUGCUGACGUUGAGACGCGAAAGCGUGGGGAGCAAACAGG
rnacentral:rRNA from 1 species